CCUACGGGAGGCUGCAGUGGGGAAUAUUGCACAAUGGGCGAAAGCCUGAUGCAGCAACGCCGCGUGAGCGAUGAAGGCCUUUGGGUCGUAAAGCUCUGUCCUUGGGGAAGAAAAAAAUGACGGUACCCUUGGAGGAAGCCCCGGCUAACUACGUGCCAGCAGCCGCGGUAAUACGUAGGGGGCAAGCGUUAUCCGGAAUUAUUGGGCGUAAAGAGUGCGUAGGUGGUUUUGUAAGCGCAGGGUGAAAGGCAAUAGCUCAACUAUUGUAAGCCUUGCGAACUGUAAGACUUGAGUGCAGGAGAGGAAAGCGGAAUUCCUAGUGUAGCGGUGAAAUGCGUAGAUAUUAGGAGGAACACCAGUGGCGAAGGCGGCUUUCUGGACUGUAACUGACACUGAGGCACGAAAGCGUGGGGAGCAAACAGGAUUAGAUACCCUUGUAGUC
rnacentral:rRNA from 1 species